GAUGAAGAACGCAGCGAAAUGCGAUAAGUAAUGUGAAUUGCAGAAUUCAGUGAACCAUCGAAUCUUUGAACGCACAUUGCGCCCGCCAGUAUUCUGGCGGGCAUGCCUGUCUGAGCGUCAUUUCAACCCUCAUGCCCCUAGGGCGUGGUGUUGGGGAUCGGCCAAAGCCCGCGAGGGACGGCCGGCCCCUAAAUCUAGUGGCGGACCCGUCGUGGCCUCCUCUGCGAAGUAGUGAUAUUCCGCAUCGGAGAGCGACGAGCCCCUGCCGUUAAACCCCCAACUUUCCAAGGUUGACCUCAGAUCAGGUAGGAAUACCCGCUGAACUUAAGCAUAUCAAUAAGCGGAGGA
rnacentral:misc_RNA from 1 species